rnacentral:lncRNA from 10 species
AUGGUGAGAAGGGUACCCAAACACUUGAAUGGUACUGUACCCUCUACUUGCCAUCUGAAUCCUCACUUGUGGAACCCAGGCACUCUGGCUGUAUUCGCGAGUAAGCAUAGGUGUGGGACUGUGUCCUGCCAUUGCACCAUCUUUAAUCUGGACUUGUGGACCUCAGGCUCUCUGACUAUUCAUGGACAGAAGUUUCUGCAGGCACAGGUGGGGUGCUGUUUCCUCCCAUUGUACACCUGAAUUCAGGACUUGUGGACCCCAGGUGUUCUGGCUGUGUUCAUGAACAGAAGUGUCCCCCCCAAACAAACCCAUAUAUGGUGCCAUCUCCUCCCAUUACAGUCACAGAUAUGGCACCAGCCCCUCCAACAGAAACAGAUGUGCUCAAGCUGAGUGGUCCAAAGGCGUUUGACAGAAGUCAUGAACAGAAGUAUCUUGGGGCACAUGUUUCUUCUCUGUUGUGCAGGCUUCUCCAGCAGUAACAGGUUUGCCCAGGCCAUAUGGGCCCCAAGCGCUCUGACCAGACACAAGAAGAGAAGACUUGCAGUCACAGGGUAUCUUCUUCCAAAAUUGGAACUGAGCUACCUGAUGGAAAAUGAGCAAGAUUAUUGUGUGGUGAAGAGAGGCCUCUCAUAAAGUUCCUGUCCAGAUGUGCCUUCUCUCUGGAUCCACAUUUCUUCUCUCAUCACAGAUCUUUCACCUGGUAUCACUUUUUGUCAUCCUUAAAUAGAAUUUUCUUUAA